rnacentral:rRNA from 1 species
CAGCAGCCGCGGGAACACGAAGGGUGCAAGCGUUAAUCGGAAUUACUGGGCGUAAAGCGUGCGUAGGCGGUGAGUUAAGUCUGCUGUGAAAUCCCCGGGCUCAACCUGGGAAUGGCAGUGGAUACUGGCUCGCUAGAGUGUGUCAGAGGAUGGUGGAAUUCCCGGUGUAGCGGUGAAAUGCGCAGAGAUCGGGAGGAACAUCAGUGGCGAAGGCGGCCAUCUGGGACAACACUGACGCUGAGGCACGAAAGCGUGGGGAGCAAACAGGAUUAGAUACCCCUGUAGUCCCUGUCUCUUAUAC